UAGAAAUUUAGGUUUAUUUUGAAAAUUACAGUAUUUAAAAAAACAAAACACAGCAUCCUUUUACUAAACCACAGCACCCCCUAUACUAAAUCCAAGUCCUUCCCCUCUACUAAAUACCAGUACUCCCCCUCUAGCCAACAAGCAGACUCCACUUACAUUGCCACAGCCAGUAUGCUACUUCGGAGUCCGGUCUCUGGUAUACCCCCAAAUGGCGCCAUCCGCACCUUGUGCCAAAUCUGACCCUCCCGAAACUUCAUUAAACUCUGAAGGUGGAGCAUGUUAAUGUCACAUCGGAUAAUGUGACGUAGCGUGCCUCUAUGAACCUCCAGGUACUCCACUGUCCAGUCGUAGCCAAUGCAACACUGACCAACACACACACUCACAGACAGGCAGUACAUAGUACUACUCUCUCUGGUGCUCCUCCUACAUCUCAAAGCACUUUUUCUGUGUUUCUCCCUCUGUUUGUCCUUUGUCCUCUACUGUUCUCAAUCUAUACUGCCUCCCUUGAUAAACUCAGUUACUUUGGCUUCCACUAUCAAUUUAAUGCCGAUGACAUGCAAAUCUACCUGUCUCCCCACCCUUCUUGACUCGUGUCUGACUGCCUCUCUGCUAUUCGCAACUAAACUAAAUGUUAAAGAAAGCCUGUCAGACACUUAACUGACCCCCCACCACAAUCUCCUUACAGAAGUUGGUGUACACUUCUGUAACAACCACCUCCAAUCUGCCUGCACUCAUUGCUGAUUUGGCCUGCUUGUGAUCACUUCCCCAAGAAGGGUAAACCUUAAUGACACAGACAUGCAGGUGUCUGACCGGAGUUACAUCAGUUACUCUGUUCAAAACACUCCCUACCUCCAUAGCAACCACAAACUGUGGGAGAGUGUCGAGAGAACCCUGCAGCUCUCCCUGUCAAUUUUGAUUUUAAAUAGGCAAAACUGCUAGCACAUUAAAGUGACAGGUUCCCCUUAACGGUCGUCACACUCUGCAUUUAGAUGCUGAAUGCUCCCCAUAGAGAUGUUUUAAUGCAAUGCAUUCAGCGAAGAGAUGCUGACUGAUGAGGCGCAGUGCAGCGAUUAUUCAUGCACACUAACCUCCCAUUGAUUUAGCUACGAUCAAAAGACUGAUUAUCUCCGGUAGGGAGGUGGCAUAGCAGCACAGAGACCAGUGCAGUUAUCUACAUGUGAGAUUAAUUAAGCAUUUUGUUAACUUACAGACAAUAUGCAAUAUUCCCAAAGCGUUGUCAGCUAGGGUCUGGGUAUAGUCAUGAAUACUUUGUGAAAUUCAAGUUCAAACUAUUUUAGAUACAGGUCUUAUCUAGUGUCUAAGCAGGUGCAGGGACCACGGUUUUUAAAAAUUGUAUAGUACCUCACCUAGAGAAUAGGUUGAGGUCAUGCACCAAAGUUACUCUAAACCUUGCUCAUUCAUAGCUGUUUGAAGGGAGAAUAUAUUUAGGCAUUCUGAUGAAGACAUGUUUUAGUGUGACAAAUCUAGUCUAUCAUCCACAAUUACGGAGUAAUAAAAAAGGGGUUACCGAGAGGGGGUUUUGUUUUUUUUUUCAAAUCUGAGAAGUUCUCCCAGCAGCCCAAUCCAUGCAGGAAUGCGGUUACAAAAAUCAGUCCUAUGUGGUCAGUAUGCAUAGUAAUGUGGUGACCAAUGACAAAUUUGCACAGAAUUAGCAUUAUCCAGUCCUUUACUUAUAUUCUGGGCUAUGCUUUUUGUAAUUUGGCAUGCCCCCCUCCUUUUUAAGACACACACACUACCUUGUGCCAGAAAUACCUGGAUGCCUACAAUUUGUUGUCUGUCAAUGUCUACAGUUUGUCAUUUUGACCAAUUGAAUGUGAGUAAACUAACUCAGCAAAUUAAACUGAACUUAAAGCUCCAGACAAUGCCCAAGAUUUCUCUUCCCAUAAGACAUAGAAGCAGUUACUUCCAGUGUAUAACAAAAAAUAUAAACCAAAUUUUAAAAACAAAAUCUGGAAAGGGACAGUGCUGCUAUAGCCUUACCUGCCUGUAGUACAGCACCGCAAGUGAAUCUGCAAGGCAGCAACUCUUUAGUGUUGAGCCUGAUUGAUCAUAUUUGUACAAUCCAAAACUUCUGAUAAAUAAUGAGAACCUAUGGAGCAUACACCGUAAUCAUCACACUCCAUUUGAUCACUUCUCAUACAGAAACGCUAAACCCAAUGCUUCACAAGAAACAUUAACAGUGUAAAUAAGUAUUCAAGAGGAAGAGAGUUUAGUGGCUUACUCAGUUAAACGUAAACACUGCAGUUCUCUGAAAACGGCUGUUAUACAAUGCUAGAUUACAGGGACUAUUUACCAAAACGACUUAAUUCAGAUGAAGUGAUCUUGUUACAUUGAUGCAUUACAUGCCACUUAAAUUGGGACAUACAGCAAUGUUUACAUUGUAUUCUAGUGAUGCUUCCAGUGACUGUCAAGGAGCAGGGUGAUAUUGUAAAACAGUGAUCCCUGGGGGUCCUGUGAGCAGUGACACUUCCAAAGCUUCUCAUGUAGAAACAUUGGAUUCCAUGCUGUCUAAGAGAAGGAUUUUAUUGGUAGUGCACAGUGUUUGCUGCAUAUGCAUUUUUCAUGCACAAUCCAUUUGUGAGAAGCACUGAUUGGUCGAGAACUCAACUUUAUGACCACAAGGGAGGAAGGUCAGGUUGCUGCAAGGACUGUAUUCGGAUAUUGGAAGAAGCAAAGUGUUAUUUUAUUUUGGACUUCAAAACUU